CGAGAGCAUGCGGUGGUGAAAGAGGAGGCUACGAGAUGCCGCCCGGUGUUACGAUCGGCAGCAAAUGACCACCUCGCUGUUGCUCCUAGCUGGCUUGUACCAAAAAGAUAUAAACCCUGGGCAAUGCUGUGCGGUUACUAGUGAUGGAGAUUAUGGGGACACUGCAGCUUUCUUCUCCAAUCUCAUGUGAAUAAAUCCAGGAAACUUUGUUUCCUUUUCCUGAGCAAUACCUCUGGGCUCUACGUUGUUCGCACCCAUCCCGAGAGACGGCCCGAGCCUCUGAAUUAACAAAGUUUUCAUUUCCUUCUGCUUUCUGACCCCAGGUCAGCCAAGACCAGCCAUGCAUUGUGCUGGGGAGAUUGCUCUGUCCAAGAUUGUGCUUCAGAUAAGAGUUUGGAUGAUUAUGAUUAAUACGACUGCUUUAUUUGUCUGACAGGUGGACUGAUAAAUAGAUAUUGUUGCUAGGACUACGUUCCUUCCUGAUAUGAUAAACAGUACAGACAGCCUGAAAUGCUGGUGUUUCUUGGAGAUCCGUGAAACCAGAGGUCAGGGCAGCGUGUACCUUGCCCUUUGAUUGUACUUGGAUAAAGGACUUCAGUCCUUUAAGUGAACAGUGAUGAUUUCAUCAGGACCUGACAUGUCCCUAGUUUCCAGUAAGGAAAACAAACAAAACCUCACAGUUUGAGAAUACAGCCCAGACAUGCUGAAUGCUCAUAAAAGGGCAGAAUACACAGAUCCAAUAGAAAAAGUAGCUUAAAAUGUCACCAGAAACUGUUACGAUCUUUGGCGAGAUUCUUUUCCCCCUUUAUCUGAUCUGCAUUUUUUGUUCUUUCUGUCUUUACCUUACAGGAACAGAAGAAUUUUUGGAAUUCGUCCGCAAGCAGAUACCGUGCCUGAAGCUGCCUGAACUCCCCCUGGCUGCUGCGUUUCCCAUGAACCAGCCAGCAUAGAGAAAACAAACCCCAGCCCUGGAGCAGAAGAUAAGCAGCAGAAUGCCCUUGCACCUUCUGAUUCAUACAGCUUAGGUUACAUCUCAAGGGACCCAAGGCCAGGGUGAGUAUAGAUCUGAACUGAAAGCAAUGCUGCCCUGUUAAUAACAUUGAUACACAAUUUCCAUCUGCCUGUUAAGAGGAGAAGGGUGUUUUUCAGCUAAUAGGGUGUUUUUUUCAUGUAAGAUGCCAAGCGACAGUUCCUUCGCAGUGAUGCAUAGUGUUUGGUCUGGCACAGAAGGCUGUCUGAUGAUAAAAUGCCAUUUCCUCCUCUCCUCCCUGCCCCACUGAAAUCUCUGUUUGAUUAGCACCUACGUCUUCUCAGAGCUGGCACCGCAGGCUUGAGAGCAGGGCAAAGUGCCACCCCAGCAGAUGGACGUCGGUGCCAGCACUGCUGCUCGCACCAGGGAGGGCUCCGGAGGUCUGCAGCCCCCCCCCGAG
rnacentral:lncRNA from 1 species